rnacentral:rRNA from 1 species
AAUGAACGCUGGCGGCGUGCCUAACACAUGCAAGUCGAACGAACAGAUGAGGAGCUUUGGCCUCUGACUGUAGCGGCGGACGGGAGAGUAACAUGUGGAUAACCUACCUAUAAGAAUGGGGUAACUUCGGGAAACGGGAGCUUAUACCGGAAAAUAUAUUGAACCUCAAGGUUCAAUAGUGAAAGACGGUUUUGCUGUCACUAAUAGAUGGAUCCGGGCAGCAUUAGCUAGUUGGGAAGGUAACGGAUUAGCAAGGCAACGAUGGGUAGACGACCUGAAAGGGUGAUCGGCCACACGGGAACUGAGACACGGCCCAGACUCCUACGGGAGGCAGCAGUAGGGAAUCUUCCGCAAUGGGCGAAAGCGUGACCGAGCAACGCCGCGUGAGUGAUGAAGGUCUUCGGAUCGUAAAACUCUGUUGUUAGGAAAGAACAAAUGUGUUUGUAACUAUGCAGGUCAUGACGGUACCUGAUCAAGAAGCCCCGGCUAACUACGUG